rnacentral:misc_RNA from 1 species
GAUGAAGAACGCAGCGAAAGGCGAUACGUAAUGUGAAUUGCAAAUUCAGUGAAUCAUCGAGUCUUUGAACGCACAUUGCGCCCCCUGGUAUUCCGGGGGGCAUGCCUGUCCGAGCGUCAUUGCUGCCCUCAAGCACGGCUUGUGUGUUGGGCCCCGUCCUCCGAUCCCGGGGGACGGGCCCGAAAGGCAGCGGCGGCACCGCGUCCGGUCCUCGAGCGUAUGGGGCUUUGUCACCCGCUCUGUAGGCCCGGCCGGCGCUUGCCGAUCAACCCAAAUUUUUAUCCAAGUUGACCUCGGAUCAGGUAGGGAUACCCGCUGAACUUAAGCAUAUCAAUAAGCGGAGGA